rnacentral:tRNA from 1 species
UCCCUGGAGGUCUAGUGGUAAGACUCUGCAGUCCAGUGCAGGGGGCGCAGGUUCAAUCCCUGGUCAGGGGA